GGGUAAAAUUAUUAUUGAUAGCAACAAUAAUCCAGAGCACUUCCUCACCACCAAUCCGUACUAUGAUUCUCGAGUUGUGGGUAAAUAUUGUGAAAAACGUGAUCCCACUUUAGCUGUUGUGGCCUAUCGACGUGGACAGUGUGAUGACGAGCUCAUCAAUGUUACAAACAAAAAUUCUUUGUUCAAACUGCAAGCAAGAUAUGUGGUUGAGAGGAUGGAUGGUGAUCUU
rnacentral:misc_RNA from 1 species